rnacentral:rRNA from 1 species
AAUGAACGCUGGCGGCGCGCCUAAUACAUGCAAGUCGAGCGAGAAGACGUAGCAAUACGUUUGUAAAGCGGCGAACGGGUGAGGAAUACAUGGGUAACCUACCCUAGAGUGGGGAAUAACUAGCCGAAAGGUUAGCUAAUACCGCGUACGCUCCUUGGACUUCGGUUCAGGGAGGAAAGCGAUGCCGAGGGUAUCGCGCUCUUGGAUGGGCUCAUGUCCUAUCAGCUUGNGGUGAGGUAACGGCUCACCAAGGCUUCGACGGGUAGCUGGUCUGAGAGGACGAUCAGCCACACUGGCACUGCGACACGGGCCAGACUCCUACGGGAGGCAGCAGUAAGGAAUAUUGCGCAAUGGGCGAAAGCCUGACGCAGCGACGCCGCGUGGGGGAUGAAGGUC